GGCCUCCUGGGAUUGCAUCUGGAGAGUGGCCAGUAUUCUACCAGCUUCAGAAAUGGGAGGGAAAGCAAGCCUGGCAGAGGUGCCCAUUCCAUUCUCAGCUUGCUCAGUAGCUGGUGAUUGGAAGACAGUCUACAACAGCG